CAAGAGCGUAUGUAAAAGUUGUUGCAGUUAAAAAGCUCGUAGUUGAACCUUGGGUUUGGUUGGCCGGCCCGCUUUUUUGCGAGUACUGGAUUCAACCGAGCCUUUCCUUCUGGCUAACCAGUCGUUUCGGCGGCUGGCGAACCAGGAUUUUUACUUUGAGAAAAUUAGAGUGUUCAAAGCAGGCAUUAGCUUGAAUAUAUUAGCAUGGAAUAAUAGAAUAGGACGUUAUGGUUCUAUUUUGUUGGUUUCUAGGACCAUCGUAAUGAUUAAUAGGGACGGUCGGGGGCAUCAGUAUUCAGUUGUCAGAGGUGAAAUUCUUGGAUUUACUGAAGACUAACUACUGCGAAAGCAUUUGCCAAGGACGUUUUCAUUAA
rnacentral:rRNA from 1 species